GAUGAACGCUGGCGGCGUGCCUAAUACAUGCAAGUCGAGCGAACAGACGAGGAGCUUGCUCCUCUGACGUUAGCGGCGGACGGGUGAGUAACACGUGGAUAACCUACCUAUAAGAUUGGGAUAACUUCGGGAAACCGGAGCUAAUACCGGAUAAUAUAUUGAACCGCAUGGUUCAAUAGUGAAAGACGGUUUUGCUGUCACUUAUAGAUGGAUCCGCGCCGCAUUAGCUAGUUGGUAAGGUAACGGCUUACCAAGGCGACGAUGCGUAGCCGACCUGAGGGGGUGAUCGGCCACACUGGAACUGAGACACGGUCCAGACUCCUACGGGAGGCAGCAGUAGGGAAUCUUCCGCAAUGGGCGAAAGCCUGACGGAGCAACGCCGCGUGAGUGAUGAAGGUCUUCGGAUCGUAAAACUCUGUUAUUAGGGAAGAACAAAUGUGUAAGUAACUAUGCACGUCUUGACGGUACCUAAUCAGAAAGCCACGGCUAACUACGUG
rnacentral:rRNA from 1 species